CGCUGAAGGCUACUGUGUACACGGGCGGUGCGGUUAACAAGUGGAGCUGUGUGUCGAAGGGAACCUUUACACAGAGGACCGGCGGUUUUUCAGGGUGUGGUGACACUGUGGUCAGGUUAGUGUCUAUGUCAGCCCACAGAGAGAGAGCCUCACAGCUGAGGGCCUGAGGUCUCUGGAUCAGACCAACCACAGCCCACUGAGGAGAAGGUCAGGACUCCUCCACCAAAUGUCUCGCUGCUGUUUUAGUCCUGCCUUUAACCAGCAUCAUUAUUUAUGGAGAGGAGAGGAAACAAGAAAUGAGAGGAAUCAUGAGAGGAGAGGAAGAGGAGAGGAAACAGAAGAGAGGAGAGGAAACAAGAAAUGAGAGGAAUCAUGAGAGGAGAGGAAGAGGAGAGGAAACAAGAAAUGAGAGGAAACAAGAAAUGAGAGGAAUCAUGAGAGGAGAGGAGACAGAAGAGAGGAGAGGAAACAAGAGAAGAGAUGAAUCAUGAGAGGAAAGGAAACAAGGGAGGAAAGGAAGAGGAGAGGAAACAAGAGAAGAGAGGAAUCAUCAGAGGAAAGGAAACAAGGGAGGAGAGGAGAGGAAACAAGAGAAGAGAUGAAUCAUGAGAGGAAAGGAAACAAGGGAGGAAAGGAAAUGAGAGGAGUGGAGAAGUUUGAAACUUGUUGAAGGUCUAGCGAUGUGAAACAGCCCACGUCCCCCCACAAACAUGCACAUGAACUAAAACACAAUCUUGUAAUUAGUAGUCCGAUCAAUCAACUCCAGGCUCCCACCCCCUCAGUUAAUGAGCCACUUAACCUCCCUCAGAGGUGUAAACAUCCAGCCAAUCAGGCUUAAACACAGGAGCUCCCUGCCAAUCACAGUGUUGUUCCACAGGAACAACAGGACAUAAAGAGAGAAAAUUACAGGACACACACACACACACACACACACACACACACACACACACACACACACACACACACACACAGACACACAGACACAGCUCAAGUCCCUGAACAGACCUCACACACUUUCCAUAAAACUGUCUGCAUAUAUGUAUUUAAGAUGAUUUUAAGCAGCUGAAUUUAGUCGGCAAUAUCAGAAAGCUGUGAUCUGAUGAUGUGCGUUUAACAUGCUGUUGAGAGCAGAGCCUGUAAGAGUGGUACCAAGUUCAGGAGUAGAUCCCCAUUUAACUGAACGUUUUGAAAACAAAACCCUACUCCAUGUGAAGAAAAAAAAAUAACUUAAUUAAACAACAUAAAUUAAGAUGAACUUAAUUAUCAUGGUGAAGUAUUACAGUUCUUUUAUUGGAGUGAGCAGCAGUGUCUAACCAGGUAAACAGGUGGGUGACAAAUGGCAUAAAGACAAGGUGGCGUCUGCAGAACAGCUUCAGUGCUUCUUGUCACAGAUUCUCCAAGUCAGUGGAUGAACAACAUUUUUCGUAAAGAUUUUCCCUCAUUUUGUGUUUUACUGAUGUCGGUGGAGAGCGAUUGUCUAAUAACGUCUCCCAUAGGUGUUUCACCUGAGUUCAGAUCAGGUGACUACGAAGACCACAGUACGUGAUUCACAUCUGGUAAUAGUUGGUUUAUAUUUUAUACAUCCAGCAUUUGUUGAAAUUAAUCCAUGUGGGGGAAAAAUAAUUCCAAGCUUUAUGAAAUGUCUAAGUUCAUAUGGGGGUAAGUUAUUAAAGCCAAAACAGCCGUUUGUAGUGCAGCACAAAUGUAAACUAUGAUUGAACUAAUACAAUAAUGAAAAUCAACAAAACCAAUAAGAAUAAAAAUAAAUCUUUUAAUAUGGCAGCUUGACAUUCACUUGUCUUUGUAGCACUGUAAUAUCAAGGUAGUGCUGACGGGUAAAUACUACCCUGUUGAAUAUGUCUGUGUUGUUUAUCCGUGUUAUGGGAACCUCUGGUGGUGACACAAGAGUCAAACAGCAGAAUCCAUGUAUUUUAUAUAUAUUUGCAUCUUUCCAUAAAUGUCCGGUGCAACAUUUUUGAUUUGAUUUUCCCAGAGCGACUGGAAAUCUUUGCAAACUUUGGGAUCAUCAGUGGAUUUGAACAAUGGUUGUUAUAACAACAUGAGUUCAUUUGCGUUCAUAAGCUACAUUUUCCAAAAGUACAGUUCAGGUGUGAGUCUUUUUUUUUUUUAUCAUUUAUCAGAGCUGAAACCAACAGAAGCCGUUUAAAAAAAAUGUAUUUCUUUAUUUUAAAAUUAAAAGCAAACCACCAUUUUCUUUUUCUUUUUCCAUUUCAGUUCAGACCACUUCAAAUUUAAUGUAAUUAAAACACCAGACACUGUUAACGACUCUCACCGAACUCAAUUUGACAGUCUUUUCAUAACAAAAGCUGACAGUGAAUUUAAUGCAGCCAUAUUCUUCAGUGACAAGCGUACAGGUGGACCUGUCAGACGUGAGCAGAUGACUUUGACUGUGUUGUUUUGGGUUUUUUUUUUUUUUUUUUUUACAGACUGGUUUGUUUAAUAUCACCAUCA